GCAGUCGUGCGAGAAGUCAAUUAGCUUGCUAAGAGACGGACAGCGGCGAAAGGGAGAGUAACGCGUGGUUACGUACCCAGAGGACCAGGAUAGCGUUGGGAAACCGGCAGUAAUACUGGAUAAUAUCUUUGGAUCAAAUGGUGUGAUUCCGCCUGUGGAUCGGACCGCGUACUAUUAGCUUGUUGGUGGGGUAAUGGCCUACCAAGGCUGCGAUGGUUACCGGGUGUGAGAGCAUGGCCCGGCUCACUGGGACUGAGACACUGCCCAGACACCUACGGGUGGCUGCAGUCGAGAAUCUUCGGCAAUGGACGAAAGUCUGACCGAGCGACGCCGCGUGCGGGAUGAAGGCCUUCGGGUUGUAAACCGCUGUCAGUUGGGAGGAAAGGCCUGUGAAGAGCAGGCCCUGACCGAUCUUCAGAGGAAGGACGGGCUAAGUUCGUGCCAGCAGCCGCGGUAAGACGAACCGUCCAAACGUUAUUCGGUAUCACUGGGCUUAAAGCGUGCGUAGGCGGCCUGGCAGGUGAGAUGUGAAAGCCCACGGCUCAACCGUGGAAUUGCGUUUCAAACCGUCAGGCUUGAGGAAGACAGGGGUGUCGGGAACUUAUGGUGGAGCGGUGAAAUGCGUUGAUAUCAUAGGGAACACCGGUGGCGAAGGCGCGACACUGGGUCUUUACUGACGCUGAGGCACGAAAGCUAGGGUAGCGAACGGGAUUAGAUACCCCGGUAGUCCUAGCCGUAAACGAUGAACACUGGGGUUGAGGGGACUUCCACAUCCUCUCGGCCGUAGCGAAAGCGUUAAGUGUUCCGCCCGGGGGAGUAUGGUCGCAAGGCUGAAACUCAAAGGAAUUGACGGGGGCUCACACAAGCGGUGGGAGGAUGUGGCUUAAUUCGAGGAUACGCGAAGAACCUUAUCCUAGAUUUGACAUGCUUGAGAGUCUCUAUGAAAAGUAGAGAGUGCCCUUCGGGGAGCUCUUGCACAGGUGCUGCAUGGCUGUCGUCAGCUCGUGUCGUGGAGAUGUCCGGGUUAAGUCCCUUAACGAGCGAAACCCUUAUCUCUAGUUGCCAGCGGGUAAU
rnacentral:rRNA from 1 species